CCUACGGGCGGCAGCAGUGAGGAAUAUUGGUCAAUGGGCGCGAGACUGAACCAGCCAAGUAGCGUGAGGGAGGACUGCACUGCGGAUUGUAAACUUCUUUUAUAAGGGAAUAAAGUGAGGCACGUGUGCCUGUUUGUAUGUACUUUAUGAAUAAGCAUCGGCUAACUCCGUGCCAGCAGCCGCGGUAAUACGGAGGAUGCGAGCGUUAUCCGGAUUUAUUGGGUUUAAAGGGGGCGUAGAUGGGUUGUUAAGUCAGGGGUUAAAGUUUGCGGCUCAACCGUAAAAUUGCAAUUGAUACUGGCAGUCUUGAGUACAGUUGAGGUAGGCGGAAUGCGUGGUGUAGCGGUGAAAUGCAUAGAUAUCACGAAGAACUCCGAUUGCGAAGGCAGCUUACUAAACUGUCACUGACAUUGAUGCUCGAAAGUGUGGGUAUCAAACAGGAUUAGAUACCCUAGUAGUC
rnacentral:rRNA from 1 species